UGCUAGUUUAUGCGGUAAAACUAAGACUGCAGUAAACUAUUCCCCAGCAAGAACGCUACAACAGCGUUACAGUCUAACUCUCCAUGAAUGUCGGAGCAGGACGGACAGUGGUCCGCUGUUCGUGGUGUUUCGGCACCUAACGUGAAGAUGCCAGCGUCAAGUUUGACAGCGCGGGAACGAUGUCUUCCUGUCCUGACUUUCAAAAUAAACUUGUUGUAAACAUA